GGCAUGUGGCUCAAGUGGUAGCGUGCUCGCGUGGCAUGCGCGGGGCUCUGGGUUCGAUCCUCAGCACCA
rnacentral:tRNA from 1 species